rnacentral:tRNA from 1 species
GGUGGGGUGCCGGAGUGGUUGAACGGGGCGGUCUCGAAAACCGUUGUACGCGCAAGCGUACCGUGGGUUCGAAUCCCACCCCCACCGCCA